UACGAGAGCCUCGAGCGUUAUCCGGAAUUAUUGGGCGUAAAGGGUACGUAGGUUGUUCUGUUAGUCUUUUGUUAAAGCCCCGAGCUUAACUUGGGGAAUGUGGAAGAAACGGCAGAACUAGAAAGUGCGAGAGGUGUGCGGAACUCAUGGUGUAGGGGUGAAAUCCGUUGAUAUCAUGGGGAACACCAAAAGCGAAAGCAGCACACUGGCGCAUAUUUGACACUCAAGUACGAAAGCGUGGGUAGCGAAUGGG
rnacentral:rRNA from 1 species